AGCGGAAGAGACCACCAACACUGCCCACCCCUGCCCACAUCCCUGGCCCAAGAGGAAACUGUAUAAGGCCUCUGGGCUCCCGUGGGGGAGGGCCCAGGAGCGGCAGGACCCCUGCCUGAGACACCGCUGGAACCUGAAGGAAACAGACCGGAUAAACAGUUCUCUGCACCCAAAUCCCAUGGGAGGGAGAGCUAAACCUUCAGAGAGGCAGACAAGCCUGGGAAACCAGAAGAGACUGCUCUCUGCACAUACAUCUCAGACGCCAGAGGAAAACACCAAAGGCCAUCUGGAACCCUGGUGCACUGAAGCUCCCGGAAGGGGCGGCACAGGUCUUCCUGGUUGCUGCCGCCGCAGAGAGCCCGUGGGCAGCACCCCGCAAGCAAACUUGAGCCUCGGGACCACAGGUAAGAACAACUUGUCUGUUGCAAGAAAGCUGCCUGGUGAAAUCGGGACACACAGAGGCAGAACUUCUCUAGGACCGGGCACAUCCUGUGUUUACCGGAAGUCCCACACCCGCGGAUCCCGGCCCGCAGCAGCUCUCUGCUCCCAGACCCCGUGGGAAAGAGACCUCUCCGCCUGGUCAGGUGG
rnacentral:lncRNA from 1 species